CCUACGGGGUGCAGCAGUCGAGAAUCAUUCACAAUGGUGGAAACCCUGAUGGUGCGACGCCGCGUGGGGGAAUGAAGGUCUUCGGAUUGUAAACCCCUGUCAUGUGGGAGCAAAUUAAAAAGAUAGUACCACAAGAGGAAGAGACGGCUAACUCUGUGCCAUCAGCCGCGGUAAUACAGAGGUCUCAAGCGUUGUUCGGAAUCACUGGGCGUAAGGCGUGCGUAGGCUGUUUCGUAAGUCGUGUGUGAAAGGCGCGGGCUCAACCCGCGGACGGCACAUGAUACUGCGAGACUAGAGUAAUGGAGGGGGAACCGGAAUUCUCGGUGUAGCAGUGAAAUGCGUAGAUAUCGAGAGGAACACUCGUGGCGAAGGCGGGUUCCUGGACAUUAACUGACGCUGAGGCACGAAGGCCAGGGGAGCGAAAGGGAUUAGAUACCCGUGUAGUC
rnacentral:rRNA from 1 species